AACCAGCUCUUCAAGUGGUCGGGAUGAUUAUUGGGCUUAAAGUGUCCGUAGCCGGUUUAGUAAGUUCCUGGUAAAAUCGGGUAGCUUAACUAUCCGUAUGCUAGGAAUACUGCUAUACUAGAGGACGGGAGAGGUCUGAGGUACUAUAGGGGUAGGGGUGAAAUCCUAUAAUCCUUAUAGGACCACCAGUGGCGAAGGCGUCAGACUGGAACGUGCCUGACGGUGAGGGACGAAAGCCAGGGGAGCGAACCGGAUUAGAUACCCCUGUA
rnacentral:rRNA from 1 species